rnacentral:sRNA from 1 species
UAAACCUUUUUUUACCCAUAGGGUAGACAACAGUAGCGCACGGCUCCUAGUGAGCCAUUCCCCUAGACCCAUAACAAUCGGAAUAGUUUUGGGUCUUUUUUU